rnacentral:rRNA from 1 species
AGUGAACGCUGGCGGUAGGCCUAACACAUGCAAGUCGAACGGCAGCACAGUAAGAGCUUGCUCUUACGGGUGGCGAGUGGCGGACGGGUGAGGAAUACAUCGGAAUCUACUUUUUCGUGGGGGAUAACGUAGGGAAACUUACGCUAAUACCGCAUACGACCUACGGGUGAAAGCAGGGGAUCUUCGGACCUUGCGCGAUUGAAUGAGCCGAUGUCGGAUUAGCUAGUUGGCGGGGUAAAGGCCCACCAAGGCGACGAUCCGUAGCUGGUCUGAGAGGAUGAUCAGCCACACUGGAACUGAGACACGUUCCAGACUCCUACGGGAGGCAGCAGUGGGGAAUAUUGGACAAUGGGCGCAAGCCUGAUCCAGCCAUACCGCGUGGGUGAAGAAGGCCUUCGGGUUGUAAAGCCCUUUUGUUGGGAAAGAAGAGCAGCAGGUUAAUACCCCGCUGUUCUGACGGUACCCAAAGAAUAAGCACCGGCUAACUUCGUG